GAUGAACGCUGACAGAAUGCUUAACACAUGCAAGUCAACUUGAAUUUGGGUUUUUAACUUAGGUUUGGGUGGCGGACGGGUGAGUAACGCGUAAAGAACUUGCCUCACAGCUAGGGACAACAUUUGGAAACGAAUGCUAAUACCUAAUAUUAUGAUAAUAGGGCAUCCUAUAAUUAUGAAAGCUAUAAGCGCUGUGAGAGAGCUUUGCGUCCCAUUAGCUAGUUGGAGAGGUAACGGCUCACCAAGGCGAUGAUGGGUAGCCGGCCUGAGAGGGUGAUCGGCCACAAGGGGACUGAGACACGGCCCUUACUCCUACGGGAGGCAGCAGUGGGGAAUAUUGGACAAUGGACCGAGAGUCUGAUCCAGCAAUUCUGUGUGCACGAUGAAGUUUUUCGGAAUGUAAAGUGCUUUCAGUUGGGAAGAAACAAAUGACGGUAACAACAGAAGAAGUGACGGCUAAAUACGUG
rnacentral:rRNA from 1 species